UCCGGUUGAUCCUGCCAGAGGUUACUGCUAUCGGAGUUCGAGUAAGCCAUGCGAGUCUAAAGGUUUCUUCGGAAACCUUGGCGGACUGCUCAGUAACACGUGGAUAACCUACCCUUAGGACUGGAAUAACCCCGGGAAACUGGGGAUAAUACCGGAUAGAUCAGGGAUGCUGGAAUGCACCUUGAUCUAAAGCUCCGGCGCCUAAGGAUGGGUCUGCGGCCUAUCAGGUUGUAGUGGGUGUAACGUACCUACUAGCCGACGACGGGUACGGGUUGUGAGAGCAAGAGCCCGGAGAUGGAUUCUGAGACACGAAUCCAGGCCCUACGGGGUGCAGCAGGCGCGGAACCUUUACAAUGUGCGAAAGCAUGAUAAGGGGACUCCGAGUGCCAGCAUCUAAUGCUGGCUGUCCUUGUGCCUAAAAGGCACAAGAUAGCAAGGGCCGGGUAAGACCGGUGCCAGCCGCCGCGGUAACACCGGCGGCCCGAGUGGUAGCCGCUAUUAUUGGGUCUAAAGGGUCCGUAGCCGGUUCGGUAAGUCCUUUGGGAAAUCUGGUUGCUUAACAAUCAGACUGCCAAGGGAUACUGCUGAACUUGAGACCGGGAGAGGUAAGAGGUACUUCAGGGGUAGGAGUGAAAUCUUGUGAUCCCUGGGGGACCAUCUGUGGCGAAGGCGUCUUACCAGAACGGGUCUGACGGUGAGGGACGAAAGCUGGGGGCGCAAACCGGAUUAGAUACCCGGGUAGUCCCAGCCGUAAACGAUGCUCGCUAUGUGUCAGGUACGGUGCGACCGUAUCUGGUGCCGUAGGGAAGCCGUGAAGCGAGCCACCUGGGAAGUACGGUCGCAAGACUGAAACUUAAAGGAAUUGGCGGGGGAGCACUACAACGGGUGGAGCCUGCGGUUUAAUUGGAUUCAACGCCGGG
rnacentral:rRNA from 1 species